rnacentral:rRNA from 1 species
CCCCAGACUCCUACGGGAGGCAGCAGUGGGGAAUAUUGCACAAUGGGGGAAACCCUGAUGCAGCAACGCCGCGUGGGUGAAGGAGCGUUUCGGCGCGUAAAGCCCUGUCAGCGGGGAAGAAGAAAGACGGUACCCGACCAAGAAGCCCCGGCUAACUACGUGCCAGCAGCCGCGGUAAUACGUAGGGGGCAAGCGUUAUCCGGAUUUACUGGGUGUAAAGGGAGCGUAGACGGCGGUGCAAGCCAGAUGUGAAAGCCCGGGGCUCAACCCCGGGACUGCAUUUGGAACUGUGCUGCUAGAGUGUCGGAGAGGCAGGCGGAAUUCCUAGUGUAGCGGUGAAAUGCGUAGAUAUUAGGAGGAACACCAGUGGCGAAGGCGGCCUGCUGGACGAUGACUGACGUUGAGGCUCGAAAGCGUGGGGAGCAAACAGGAUUAGAUACCCGUGUA